rnacentral:misc_RNA from 1 species
UUGCUUUAUUUAAUCAUAGACUUAGACAUAAACAUGUUUAGCUCAGAGUUUAAUAAGUUGGGCCAUCGGCGGGCGCAGGCCAGAGGACGUCUCGCGACAAAUCCUCCGGCGGUCGUUUGGGACGGGCCCGCCGAAGCAACAAAAAGUUUAAUAGACAUAGGGUUGGGAGGUCGGGCCUAGAAGACCCUAACUCAUUAAUGAUCCUUCCGCAGGUUCACCUACGGAAA